CGUGGCUAGUGAUGUGAUACUGUUAAUGAGGAGUUUUACAGUUAGCGCAAAUCCUAUAUGUUAUUAUUUAUUUAGCGUACCUAUAAGGCUUUUUUUCCUUAUCAAAAGUGAGGGGGACGAUGGCUGUCUCUUCAGCACUGCGGA